GCGGAUGUGGUGAAAUGGUAGACACUGCAAACUUAAAAUUUGCUGGCCCAGUGCCGUGCGGGUUCGAGUCCCGCCAUCCGCACCA
rnacentral:tRNA from 1 species